GUGAAAGUCAGCACUGCAUGUAGCCCUUUAAGUCCACAAAGAACACUGCAACUGAGCGAUCAAGCUCAGUUACAGUCAUUCUUUUAAGUGAUAUGGUGCUUGGGAGACCCCCAAGGUCUCUACAGACACUGGAGGGAAACCCUCUAUGCCCCAAUGCCAUUCUUAUCAGUGCUGGGCUUUUUCAGUUGCCCAGCACAGAUCGCAUCGCAUUGGGCAUAAUAUCUCCAGUGUAAGAGAUAGGAGACUGCAAUACUGAAAAUAGCCAGUAGAUGGCAGCAACGUACCACUGUCUGUUUUAGUUUAAAAUCCCUUUACUAAUAUCAGUACUGAUAUUAGCAGUGGGAAACCUUUGGGAUUAAGAUUAAAUUAAGGAUUACAAUUAAGGUUUAUUAUUCGGUUUAGAAUAAAUAUUAGAUUUAUUAUCAUGUUUAUUAAUGGGUAUAUUAUUAAUUUUAUGUUUAAGAUUAGGUUUAUAAUUAAUUGUAGUAUUUGGAUGUUUCAGAUUGGUAUUCAGAUUAUGGUUCAGAUUAGAAUUAGGGUCAGCACGGGCAUCCCUUGCUAAAUAUAGCAAGGGAAUUCCUCUGCUGACACCAGCAGGGGGAAUCAUUUUAACACUAUUGCUAAAGUUAGAAUUGAGAUUAACGUGAUCAAUAGGGUUACACAUGGGAUUACGUUAUGGAUUAGGAUUGUGGUACCGGUUUUGGAUUAGAUUGAGGAUUAGAUUUGGGAUUAGGAUUUGGUUUAGAAUUAGGGCUUGGUUUAGCAUUAGGGAUUUAGAUUGGGAUUAAGAUCGCUACUUUCCAAAUAUAUACAUAUGGGGUAUAUUUGUACUCAGAAGAUGUUGGGACACAUGAGAUUUAAAAAAAUAAGCAUAAAAAUACUAUGUGUAUGUAAAAAUUUUAAAACAAAAAUGAAUACCAC